UACGUAGGGGGCAAGCGUUGUCCGGAUUUAUUGGGCGUAAAGAUCUCGUAGGCGGUUCCGUAAGUCGGGUGUGAAAAAUCUGGGCUCAACCCAGUGGAGCACCCGAUACUGCGGUGACUCGAGUCCGGUAGGGGAGUGUGGAAUUCCUGGUGUAGCGGUGAAAUGCGCAGAUAUCAGGAGGAACACCGACGGCGAAGGCAGCACUCUGGGCCGGUACUGACGCUGAGGAGCGAAAGCAUGGGGAGCGAACAGG
rnacentral:rRNA from 1 species